rnacentral:rRNA from 1 species
AACGAACGCUGGCGGCAGGCCUAACACAUGCAAGUCGAGCGAGAUCUUCGGGUCUAGCGGCGGACGGGUGAGUAACGCGUGGGAAUAUGCCUCUUGGUACGGAAUAGCCUCGGGAAACUGGGAGUAAUACCGUAUGUGCCCUUUGGGGGAAAGAUUUAUCGCCAAGAGAUUAGCCCGCGUUGGAUUAGGUAGUUGGUGGGGUAAUGGCCUACCAAGCCGACGAUCCAUAGCUGGUUUGAGAGGAUGAUCAGCCACACUGGGACUGAGACACGGCCCAGACUCCUACGGGAGGCAGCAGUGGGGAAUCUUAGACAAUGGGGGCAACCCUGAUCUAGCCAUGCCGCGUGAGUGAUGAAGGCCUUAGGGUUGUAAAGCGCUUUCAGCUGGGAAGAUAAUGACGGUACCAGCAGAAGAAGCCCCGGCUAACUCCGUG